UAGGGUGAAGAGAAAGUAGCCUGGAGUCCACGCGCGUCCCCUAGGGGCUAAGCCGAUGGCAGAGACCUAGCUGCUGAGCUGGGACCAAGAAGCUGGUGGUGGCUUGCUGUGAGAGGCUACUCCAAGGACCAGGGUCUGCGGCAACCAGAGCCAGUGGUCAGACCCUGCACAGAGUGCUCAUCACACCCACACCACAGUCCCGGAGGGCAGCCCGGCAUCACCCCACAGGCAGCAGGUGCUCUCAGGUCCUUCUGCCCCCAGUCACAGAACAGGUACAAGGACAGCCCAGCUGCAUCUCCACCCUCCUGCACCCUCCCUGCCUCGUCCUGUGCCGCACCCACCGCAGAAUCCAGCCGUGGUGUGCCUUUGGUUGGCUUCUACCUUCGCUGGACUGCAUCUCUCACUCGGCUGCCCCUGCAAGGAGAUUCCUGAUCGCUAAGCUGUUAUUGUAUGUUCAUGUUAAAAACGCUAAACUGACUUUUCGGCAACAACCUGAGUUCCUGAAGACAUUUUGCCUCAGUGACCAGUGUCGCAUCAGGGACCUUCCUUGCUUGGUGAGUCAUUUCCUAAGGCCUUGGUGACUCGGCACCAAUGGCGAUUCCUGCCCUCUGGCUGAUUCCAUGUCAGUUCUGCAGCACCGGUGUGAAGGUGAGAUUAUCCGGUUACAUGAGGAAAAACACCCAACUGUUCGAGGAGGGACACGAUAGGGACGCUCAUGGAGGACAUUUAUCCUUGAUCUUAGCCAAAAGGCCGAGAAGCAAUACAUUUAAAGUCACCCUACAAGGUUUCAGUUUGAGGGCUUUUUGAAGUGUUGGUUUCAAAAUUAUAUAAAUCUACAAUAUAUAUAAAUUAUCGUAAAGAAUUUACAAGCGAAACCUGUGAGUUUUAAAAAAAAGUGAUGAGAAGGAGUUUCAAAAAAAGUGUGAUUUUCAUGCUUCGUUUGCUGAGAAGACAGCAGUAGGUAUGAAGAUAAGCUUUUACAAACAGCUCCUUCCACAUCCCCAGAUGCCACGACUUUCUUCAGUUAGUUUAAUAAGAAAAGAUUGUGAGAGAAUGUCCAGCAGAGAUAAAGUGAGACUGUAGAAAGGUCACUACACCAAAACCAAGGUCACAGAUGAGUGGGACACAAUCUCAUUUGAUGUGAGUGUCACCUAAACUUUCUAUAUGUCAAUUUCCUGUGGAUAAAAAUAGCAGGUGUAUCUAAUGUCACAGAUCAAUAAUAAAGCGAAACAGAUGGGAAAAAAUCAGCAAUGAUGUGGUGAUAUUACUCUCUAAAUUCUGGAAACAGCUAUUUUCAUUUUAAAUUCAAGUAACUUCCUUUUUAACCUGAAGAUUUCAAAGUAUUUAAUGGGACAUAUAAAAAUAAGCCCACAGGAUUGUGAAUCAGUAAUGAAACAUUUAAGUUAGCAUGGAAAAGCAAAGAAGAGUCCUUUCCAGCAUUUACUAUUACUUAUCACAUAGGAAGGGACGUGGGUUCAUUCCAAAGUGGCUUUGCAGACUAAUACCAAAAAUUUAUCAGCCCCACAAAUACAUGUCUUCAUCAUC